CCUGGCAGGACAGCAAAGGUUGUGGAGGAUAAGGAGUUAAAAUAGAAGAGAGGUGGGAGGCAGCAGCACAGCCCAGCUCCCCCCAGAAGGCUGAGGGGCCACGUCAGUUGUUGAAUUCCUGCAUUGAGAGAAGUGGCUGAAAUGCCACCCAAAAGGUGACAGAGGC